AUUGAACGCUGGCUGCAGGCUUAACACAUGCAAGUCGAGCGAGCGGCGGACGGGUGAGUAAUGUCUGGGAAAAUGCCUGAUGUAGGGGGAUAACUACUGGAAACGGUAGCUACUACCGCAUACCAUCAGAUGUGCCCAGAUGGGAUUAGCUAGUAGGUGGGGUAAUGGUUCACCUAGGCGACGAUCCUUAGCUGGUCUGAGAGGAUGACCAGCCACACUGGAACGGAGACACGGUCUAGACUCCUACGGGAGGCAGCAGUGGGGAAUAUUGCACAAUGGGCGCAAGCCUGAUGCAGCGACGCCGCGUGGGGGAUGAAGGCUUUCGGGUUGUAAACCUCGUUCGCGGGUAGGUGGAGAAGAAGCGCCGGCUAACUACGUGCCAGCAGCCGCGGUAAUAC
rnacentral:rRNA from 1 species